rnacentral:rRNA from 1 species
UACGGGGGGUGCGAGCGUUGUCCGGAAUCACUGGGCGUAAAGGGCGCGUAGGUGGUUUGAUAGGGUGUGGUGAAAGCCCGGGGCUCAACCCCGGGUCUGCCGUGCCGACUGUCAAACUCGAGGGCUGUAGAGGCAGACGGAAUUCCGGGUGUAGCGGUGGAAUGCGUAGAGAGUCCGGAGGAAGACCGGUGGCGAAGGCGGUCUGCUGGGCAGUUUCUGACACUGAUGCGCGACAGCGUGGGGAGCAACAGG